rnacentral:rRNA from 1 species
AUGCACCGAAGCUGCGGCAGCGACACUGUGUGUUGUUGGGUAGGGGAGCGUUCUGUAAGCCUGUGAAGGUGUGCUGUGAGGCAUGCUGGAGGUAUCAGAAGUGCGAAUGCUGACAUAAGUAACGAUAAAGCGGGUGAAAAGCCCGCUCGCCGGAAGACCAAGGGUUCCUGUCCAACGUUAAUCGGGGCAGGGUGAGUCGACCCCUAAGGCGAGGCCGAAAGGCGUAGUCGAUGGGAAACAGGUUAAUAUUCCUGUACUUGGUGUUACUGCGAAGGGGGGACGGAGAAGGCUAUGUUGGCCGGGCGACGGUUGUCCCGGUUUAAGCGUGUAGGCUGGUUUUCCAGGCAAAUCCGGAAAAUCAAGGCUGAGGCGUGAUGACGAGGCACUACGGUGCUGAAGCAACAAAUGCCCUGCUUCCAGGAAAAGCCUCUAAGCAUCAGGUAACAUCAAAUCGUACCCCAAACCGACACAGGUGGU